rnacentral:lncRNA from 1 species
GUGAAGAACAUCCUUAAGUACUUGAGAAGCACUAAAGAUUUAUUAUUGAUUUUUGGAAGAGAGUUUGAGUAAUGAGGUUUGAGAAUACACAGACUCAGAUUAUGUAUCUGACACUGAUGGUAGAGAGUAUAUACUAGGAUGUGUGCAAUGUGAAAAUUGAUAGAUUGAAAUAGUUUCAAAUAACCAAUCAUUACAGGUCCUAUGGAAGUUG